GCCGAAGUGGCGGAACUGGCAGACGCACUGGACUCAAAAUCCAGCGGACCGCAAGGUUCGUGUGGGUUCGAUUCCCACCUUCGGCACCA
rnacentral:tRNA from 1 species